rnacentral:rRNA from 1 species
CCUACGGGAGGCAGCAGUGGGGGAUAUUGCACAAUGGGGGGAACCCUGAUGCAGCGACGCCGCGUGGGUGAAGAAGGGCUUCGGCGUGUAAAGCCCUGUCCGCUGGGAAGAAGAUGACGGUAGCUGAAGAAGAAGCCCCGGCUAACUACGUGCCAGCAGCCGCGGUAAUACGUAGGGGGCGAGCGUUAUCCGGAUUUACUGGGUGUAAAGGGGGCGCAGACGGCGAUGCAAGCCAGGAGUGAAAGCCCGGGGCUCAACCCCGGGACUGCUCUUGGAACUGCGUGGCUGGAGUGCAGGAGGGGCAGGCGGAAUUCCUGGUGUAGCGGUGAAAUGCGUAGAUAUCAGGAGGAACACCGGUGGCGAAGGCGGCCUGCUGGACUGCAACUGACGUUGAGGCCCGAAAGCGUGGGGAGCAAACAGGAUUAGAUACCCCUGUAGUC